UCCAGACUCCUACGGGAGGCAGCAGUGGGGGAUAUUGCACAAUGGGGGGAACCCUGAUGCAGCGACGCCGCGUGGGUGAAGGAGCGUUUCGGCGCGUAAAGCUCUAUCAGCAGGGAAGAAAAUGACGGUACCUGACUAAGAAGCCCCGGCUAACUACGUGCCAGCAGCCGCGGUAAUACGUAGGGGGCAAGCGUUAUCCGGAUUUACUGGGUGUAAAGGGAGCGUAGACGGCGCUGCAAGUCCGGAGUGAAAGUCCAUGGCUUAACCAUGGUACUGCUCUGGAAACUGUGGAGCUUGAGUGCGGGAGGGGCAGGCGGAAUUCCUAGUGUAGCGGUGAAAUGCGUAGAUAUUAGGAGGAACACCAGUGGCGAAGGCGGCUUGCUGGACUGUAACUGACGUUGAGGCUCGAAAGCGUGGGGAGCAGACAGGAUUAGAUACCCGUGUAG
rnacentral:rRNA from 1 species